UACGUAGGUGACAAGCGUUGUCCGGCUUUACUGGGCGUAAAGAGCGCGCAGGCGGUCGAUCAAGUCGAGUGUGAAAGCCCCCGGCUCAACUGGGGAGGGUCAUUCGAUACUGAUCGACUCGAAGGCAGGAGAGGGUAGUGGAAUUCCCGGUGUAGUGGUGAAAUUCGUAGAUAUUAGGAAGAACACCGGUGGCGAAGGCGGCCCACUGGUCCGGUACUGACGCUGAGGUGCGAAAGCGUGGGGAGCAAACAGG
rnacentral:rRNA from 1 species